AAGAUCUUACUUGAAUAUGAUCUAUUUUAUUGGCUCAUAUCAUUGUGUUCUUAAGUUCUAAGGAAACCCAAAGCCAAGUCAGGUUGAUGAGGCAUGGUCAUGGGACUAGAGUGUGAUUAACAACGUCAAUGACUUCUAGAGUUGUAGAGCAGUAGAAGAUCAUUCUGAUAGACG
rnacentral:snoRNA from 1 species